ensembl:lncRNA
AGAUAACACCUGACACAGCAGAACAAGCCUGAUCUCUGUAGACCAGAAAGAGAAGAAAACUGGAGCAUGAGGAGCUGAAUGCUGCUGUUUCUCACCUUUGUGCUGCUGAUACAGACCUACUGCCAGCCCAGUGAAAGACUCAGCCUCCUGGGAAGAGUCACGCUUCCACAGAGGAACGUUUCGGACAGGGAUAACUAUCUCAUCACCAGCUCAGCCGAAGCCCGGAGCACGCGGGCCGCCCCGAACGUAGAGCUGUAAGCACGGCGAGGUGACGAAGGGCAGCAGCGCUCCCUGGCGGCCACGUUUGGGCAGGCCUCGCCGGGGGGGGUUGGCGAAACGCUGCGUUCCCACAAGAAGACACGGCGGCCUCGCGCUUUGUAAGCAGCCGUGAUGGUGCGCGACAGCCCCCCGCUCGUCUUCGUGCCGCCCCCGCGCCCCCCGGAGCCGCCGCGACCGCGGAUUGCCGGCGAUGGCGCUGCGCCCGACUCACCGCCACCCGCACCGCCGCCAUGUCGUCACGGGGACAGGAAGCGCGGGCUGUGCGCGCCCACCUCUCCGCCAAGUCUCGCGAGAGAGGGAGCGAGAAAACGGGCGCGCGGGGGCUGCCGGGAAGUGUAGUGCCGCGCAGUGCAGCGUCCCUGCGGCCUUGUGCUAUGUAACCCCCCCUCAGCGCUGGGGGGUUUCUGUUACACAGCCCUGAGCGGGCCCGGUUCUUCUGCUGGCCCAGAGGUGUCAAAUAAGAGAAAGAUGAGAAAAUAAACGUGCACAACUCCUC